GGUGUCUCUGUAGCUUUACUUUUCUUUCAGAUAGAAGGCCAAGAGUUUGGAGUGCUUGUUAUUUAUCACUAGCGAACAAACAAAGGAGUGAGUCAGCAAAGGAAAAUAUGACAGAAUGAAACCAAACAGCACACGUUUAUUGCUGUCAUUUAGCAUAUGACUUUCUGUAAGGAUUCAGGAAGGUGUUUUUCCUGAGGGGAAACUACCUUUAACAUUUGGGAUUGCCUGAAAUUGCAACACAUGUUAGUAUCUGUUGGGUAUUAAAGGGCUUUUACAGUCACAACUCCACAUCAGUUGAACAUUUCACAGGAUAAGAGAAGAACUCUCAGUUACAGCGGUCUGAUAGACUGCCCAGUGCAGAGCCAAGCCAUGAAAGCCAGCAGCAUCAAGAAGUCAGAAAAGCAGAAUAUUGUGAGAAAAGAUCAAAAGACGCUGAAAGAGAUUGCACAGCAGCUUCGGCAAAUUGGAGAUCUUUUGAAUAGAAGCAAGUGGCCCUGCUUUAUAUUUCAGUUUUGCAAACGCUAAUAAGCAGCUUUCAGAUCGUCAGAGUGUGCUGCACACAAUAUCACAUGGGCACUUUAACAACCCUCAAGUGGAGGGCACUCACUGAAGUCAUCAUUAAGACACAAUGCAAAUCAGAAGAACCUGUAAGCACUUUUAUGUGCCAUCGCAUUCACUUUAUUUCCAUGGAUAUGACUGGAAUCAUUUGUGGGAUAUCUGCUUUGGAGCUAUGCACAAUUCAAAGCAGGUAUUCUGGCUGUGGGCAAAAAUGAGCAAUUCCUUUGUGUCUUCUUAUCAGUUAGAGAAACUUAUACAGAGACAUUCAUCAAAAUGGUGACCUGGGGCAUGGAGCUUGCCACGACAUGAUGGCAUGGUGCUUUAGUUUUAUCAAGUCACCUCUGAUAUCCGAUGCAAAUUUCAUUUGACUUCUUUUGAAAUUUAGAACUGAACAAGAAAUGCACAAAACAUGCAUAUGCUGGCUUAUGCCUAUAAUGAUUUGUAUGUCAGAAUGACAAGUGACGGAGUUAUACAUUUAAUUUUUGUCGGACGUCUUCUGCUUUGUUGUUUAUAUUUCUUUUUCCGUUGUAUUUAUUUAUGUUGAAAACUUAAUUUUAUUUAUUCUAAGUAUUAUUGUUCAAAUGUUAUUCAUUGCAUCUAAAUGCUCUUAUAAAAUGAUGCAUUAUGUUUUAAAGUG